UGGGGACUGAGGACAAUGCAUAUAACUUUUACCUGGACCCCAUGGCUGCUAGCAGUGCUCGUAACUUGUCUAAAAAGCCAACCUGGGAAAUCUCUGUUGACAGUCCACCGAAAAAGAAAAGUGGCAGCUUGGAGGACUAUGUCAGAGAACUUUCCGAAACUGUGGCAACGAGGAGCCAGAAAUGUGGCGACCGUGAGCAGGAGGAACUGGACCGUGCAAUGCAGCUUAAGAAGAAGAUGGUAUUGAGGAGGGGUCUCAGCUAUACCGUCAGGCACUAUAUUUAUGUAAGAAUGCAGUGUAUCGGAGGGCCUUCACAAAGAUGAAAACAAAAGAGGGCCGACUGAAUUGGAUCCAAUUCAACUAGGACAGGGAGAACAAGUAGUCCAUUGUGGCAUGAGAUGGUUUUAUUGUAUUAUUGUGUACUGAUGGGUUGAAACAAUAAUGUGUGAUCAUGUAACGUGUCCUGUGCCAUGAACAAUGUGUUGUACUGCAUGUUAAAUUUUUUUCAAAUUCAAUGUCGCCCAUGAUCUGUACUACAUGACCAUCUAUUUUUUACUUGUGUCACAAUGCUUGUGAUUUGCAUAGCAUGUCUUAUCAGUGACGAGGAAUUUUGAUGUUGGUUGAGAUUGUGCCGUGAACAGGAAGGUGGGGAGGCCAAUUGAGGCCCUCAGCUGGCAUCUAGGGAGGAGGACUGGUUAGUUAUCCGGGCUUCCAGGGAGGACAUGGAGAACGAUUGAUAGGUUCAUUCAAUUAUGAGUAGCGCUAAGGAAUCAAACAGCGACACCGACAGUGAUUCUAGCUCCAUCUUGUACCAGCUGGCGAGUGUAGCAGCAGCUGUAGCAGCAUAUGUCGCCGUGAACAGAAGUUCACCUCCUGUGGUGAACCCGCCAGUGGAGUUGCCACGCAUGAUCGGACAUCAAUGGGUUGAGCUGAAUAUGCGGGAAAGCUGGAGGUGCUACGAUAAUUUUCGUAUGUAUCCCGACGCGUUCCUUUAGUUGCAUGACAUCUUGGUUAACAAUCAUGGGUUGCAAUCAUCAUAAGUUGUAGAACCUAUUGAGGCUUUAGGUAUGUUCGUCUGGGCUUGUGCGACACAACAGGCUUCUCGUCAAAUUAGAGAUAGAUUUGAGCGGAGUUUGGACACAGUUAGUAGGAAGAUGGCUCAUGUCUCAGAUGUAAUGUUCUCAUUUGCACGGACGGUUAUCGCUCCAAAGGAUCCUGCGUACUCAAAGGUUAAUCAUAGACUGAACCCAUAUUCACCGUUCUUUGAUGGGUGUAUAGGUGCUCUAGAUGGAACCCACGUUCCCGUACAGGUCGGGCGUGAGUCACAUUUGGACUUCAUUAAUAGAAAAAGGGUGGAGAAGCUUUAAUGUGUUAGCGAUAGUAGAUAUGGACAUGCAGUUCACAUAUGUAGGAGCGGGGAGGGCAGGGUCCAGUCAUGACGUGUCAGUGUUGCGGGAGUGUAUGGAGACACCGAACUACCCGCAUCCACCUCCAGAUAUGGAAGGUAUUAUUUGGCGGACUCGGGUUACGCCGUUCGUGAAGGCUAUCUGCGGCCAUAUCGAAGUACGAGGUACCAUUUGGAGGAAUUUAGUAGAAGAGCGGCUGAAAGUUUGGAUGAGAGAUUCAGCUUCCACCAUUCGAGUCUUCGCAAUAUUGUCGAACGAGCUUUUGGCGUGCUCAAAUCCAGGUGGCAUAUUUUACGGCAAGUACCAUUUUAUGAUCGAGAGAGGCAAACAAAAAUCGUUAUUGCUUGCUUUGCACUCCACAAUUAUUUGGUGGACCGUGCCGAUGCAAGUACUGCAGAUUUGAACAUGGCGCGAACUCCGGACUACGAGAUGUCCGCAUGGGUCGCAGCAAAUGCUACUCUUGAUAUGGCAAGUGUACGAGAUUGGAUCGCGGCAGGAACCUCAUUGAUGUAGAUGUAUGCGUAUGUGUGUAUGUUUGUGCUAUAUGUUGUAUGUAAGCAAUUGGUGCGCAAUAUGUUAUUGUAGUGUGUGGCAUAUGUUGUACGUCAGUAACUUCGAUGCAGUGGGUUAAGCUUGCACAAAAAAUUAAAUUUAUUUGCUCCUUUU